GAGGCCGACUAGGUGCUACAGUGUGGCUGGGCCGUGCAGGUCAGGCAUAGAGCUGGCCACCCUCUGAUAUCUCCCUCCUGGUCUCGAAAUCUGGGUCCUAACUCUCCCACCCUCCCUCCUUCCUAGGUGUGACCCAGCUUUGCCCUUCUGCCUGGGCUCUGUGGCUCUGACCUGGGCUCCACUUCCAGGCCUGGUUCUCUUUUUUCUCUCUAAAGCUUCUCAUGCCUGUGUCUGGCCACUUCUAGUUGCCCUCCUGUUUCUUCUUCACUUCUCUUUCACUUAGUUCUCCUUUUGUUCGGGGCUGGAGAGUCUCAAAAGGCAGUGGGACAACCGCCUGGCAGCCUGGAAACGGGGCAACAGCCCUCUGGGCACAUUUCUUGGUCUGAGCACCUGAAGUACUCGGCACCUGUAAAGGAGGCUCCUCCAUGUCUAUGAAGACACAAAAGGCCCAGCACAGUCGGUGCUGUCUUUGCCGUGGAACUGAGAAAGGGAACAGGUGGCCUCGAGGUAUAGUGAGCCCCCGUCUCAGAGGUAUUCUGCAGCAACAGAGGUCCCCGUCCCUCACUCACCGUGCUGAUACCCAGAACUCCUCUUAAAAAGCAGCUGCCAGAAUUUGCUGAGGUGGUGGCCUGGGGAGGCGGUGGAGGCCGCAGAGGCUGAAGGGACCCUAAAG